GAUUGAUGUGAUGAUUUAUUUACCCAUUUUUGUCUGUACAAUCGGAUGAUGAUCUACAAUACAUGCACUACCAUCUGAUCUUUC